AGAGUUUGAUCCUGGCUCAGGAUUAACGCUGGCGGCGUGCCUUAUGCAUGCAAGUCGAACGAUCUUAACUUCGGUUGGAUAGUGGCGAACGGGUGAGUAACGCGUAGGUGACCUACCUUAAGGCGGGGGACAACCCCGAGAAAUUGGGGCUAAUACCGCGUAUGCUCUUGAUUCAAAUUGAGAGUGAAAGUUCUUCGGGACGCCUUUUGCGGGGCCUGCGUUCGAUUAGCUUGUUGGUGGGGUAAUGGCCUACCAAGGCGAAGAUCGAUAGCUGGUCUGAGAGGAUGAUCAGCCACACUGGAACUGAGACACGGUCCAGACUCCUACGGGAGGCAGCAGCAAGGAAUCUUGCACAAUGGGGGAAACCCUGAUGCAGCAACGCCGCGUGAGUGAUGAAGGCUUUCGGGUUGUAAAGCUCUUUUAUUGGGGACGAGAAAAAGGACGGUACCCAAUGAAUAAGCCACGGCUAACUACGUGCCAGCAGCCGCGGUAAAACGUGGGUGGCGAGCGUUAUCCGGAUUUAUUGGGCGUAAAGGGCCCGCAGGCGGCACAUUAAGUCAGGUGUGAAAUCUCCCGGCUCAACUGGGAGGGGACACUUGAAACUGAUGAGCUUGAGGACAGCAGGGGGAAGCGGAACUCCCGGUGUAGCGGUGAUAUGCGUAGAUAUCGGGAGGAACACCAAUGGCGAAGGCGGCUUCCUGGGCUGUUUCUGACGCUGAGGGGCGAAAGCGUGGGGAGCAAACCGGAUUAGAUACCCGGGUAGUCCACGCUGUAAACGAUGGAUACUAGGUAUGGGGGGUAUCGACCCCUUCCGUGCCGAAGCUAACGCCAUAAGUAUCCCGCCUGGGGACUACGGCCGCAAGGCUAAAACUCAAAGGAAUUGACGGGGGCCCGCACAAGCAGCGGAGCGUGUGGUUUAAUUCGACGAUACGCGAAGAACCUUACCAAGACUUGACAUCGUAAUGCUAGCCUGAGAAACCAGGUGUCCCUUCGGGGCGUUAUGACAGAUGCUGCAUGGCUGCCGUCAGCUCGUGCCGUGAGGUGUUGGGUUAAGUCCCGCAACGAGCGCAACCCUUGUCGCUAGUUGAUUUCUCUAGCGAGACUGCCCCGCGAAACGGGGAGGAAGGCGGGGAUGACGUCAAGUCAGCACGGCUCUUACGUCUUGGGCUACACACACGCUACAAUGGGUGGUACAGAGGGUUGCGAAGGAGCGAUCCGGAGCUAAUCUCACAAAGCCAUCCUCAGUUCGGAUUGCAGGCUGCAACUCGCCUGCAUGAAGUCGGAGUUGCUAGUAAACGCAGGUCAGCAAUACUGCGUUGAAUACGUUCUCGGGCCUUGUACACACCGCCCGUCACGUCAUGAAAGUUGGCAACACCUGAAGUCGGUGGGCCAACCCGCAAGGGAGGCAGCCGCCCAAGGUGGGGCUAGCGAUUGGGACGAAGUCGUAACAAGGUAGCUGUAGCGAA
rnacentral:rRNA from 1 species